rnacentral:rRNA from 1 species
AUACGGAGGAUGCGAGCGUUAUCCGGAUUUAUUGGGUUUAAAGGGUGCGUAGGCUGUGCGUUAAGUCAGGGGUGAAAUGCCGUCGCUCAACGACGGAGCUGCCCUUGAUACUGGCGUGCUGGAGUACGGAUGCCGUUGGAGGAAUGAGUGGUGUAGCGGUGAAAUGCUUAGAUAUCACUCAGAACACCGAUUGCGAAGGCAUAUGACGAAUCCGGCACUGACGCUGAGGCACGAAAGCGUGGGGAUAGAACAGGAUUAGAUACCCUGGUAUUCCACGCCGUAAACGAUGAUGACUAACCGUCGGCGAUAGACAGCCGGUGGCCAAGCGAAAGCGAUAAGUCAUCCACCUGGGGAGUACGUCGGCAACGAUGAAACUCAAAGGAAUUGACGGGG